rnacentral:lncRNA from 1 species
AGGCUUGGUAGUGGUUUUUCACAGAAGGCUUUUCAUUCCAGGAAUCAGGGUGACUUAGGCAAUGGGAACUUCCCAGUUUAGGUGUAUGACUAAACAAAGCAUUUUAAAGCACUGGAUGAUAAAGCACCUUUUAUGUUUUAAGAGAAAGCCAGCAGCUAACCAAGCAAAAUUGGGAAUUAUAAUACUAGUGAAGAGGAUAGGCAGGAAACAAUAUUGUAGUCUGUAAAUAAACUAGAAGAAUCAAAACAAGUUUGUGAAGGGAAACAAGAAUCCUUAAUUCAGAAGACAAAAAGGGAAUUAAAAAAAAAAAAAGAAAAGGGGGGUGUAAAUUAGGGGAGCCUACAAAUUACUAAAAACAAGUAGUUCUUCAUGUGUUGUAUAAUCUUCUAUGGACUGUUUUGGUGUUGCAUUUAAAAGGUUAUUUUAAUGCUGUCUUUGAGGUGAGACUUCUUGCAGGUCAAUCCAGGAGAUGAGGGUGGAAACAGGUCUCAGUAGAUACUGGAUGGUGACUUCUGCAGUGCUUUCAUCCAAGUGUACAUCCACAGGUAUGAUCGGUUACUACACUGAUAGUUCAGCACCAGACGAAGUGGAAAUAUUAGGUAUGUCCAGCCAGCCCAUGGACGUCUGUGUUAGUUGGAUGAGGUGAAUGGACAGGAAGUCUGCUGAGCUUAAGGUCACCCCGAGUCCUUCAAAAGCAGGCCUUCUUGGCACAGGCUUUCAGAUAAGAAACAGAUGGAAGGAAGGAAACCUCAUGCAGUUGUUUAAAAUGGAUGAGUAAAGGAUUGGAGGCUAACUAAUUUGAAUAAUUCAGGAACUGAUAAACUGGGAUAGCCAUAGCUAACAAUGAUGUAAAAUAAAGUGCUUACAGAACUAUGAGGAAAAGUGCAAUGAAUUUAAAAUGAAUUGUGAAAUCAAGAUUGUUGUUCUCCUAACAUGGCUGAUUAAGAUUUUCAUGACAUUAAAUGACUUCAGCUCAGCUACGUGCAGAGAAAAUCAACUGUUGUUUUGUGAGGCAGCUCAGAUGCUUGGAGAUUUAUGUACAAGACAAGGAACUCAACGCAGGAGGAAUAAAUGAAGCUCACAAAAGAGAGACAAUUGAUUCUAAAAAUAAAGGAAGAGGGGAAAAUGUAAUGAGUUCCUAUAAUGAAAUGAGUCUAGCAUGGUGAUCAUCAGCUAACUGAGAAUCAGUUUUAACAGUCUGUAAUCGAUGUUCCGACCUUUAUGAAACCAUGAAUCAUUUCAGCUGAAAUUUGUGAAAACACAGGACAGUGAGAACGGAAGACUGGAG